CAAUGGUAACAAAGAGAAUUUAAUAAUAAUGUACAAUAAUUCUAUCGCUAUUUUAAAACCCCACUAGCCACAAUAAUGGCUGCUGAAGCUCUCAUCGUUGUCAUGGGAUUCUUAUUAGCCUGUUCUUAAGGAAGCUGAGAGAUGUUUCCUAAAAAUACAUUUAAUGUUGUUUAAGAUUUUGUAAAUGUGUCAGUUUCCCAGAAAUCCCUCCUUUUCUUCAUCUCCCAGCAGCACUUCUGCAUACCUGAGGACUGCAAAAAAUGGCUCCGUGCCAUAAUACACUUCGAAGUUUCAAACUCUGCUAGCAAGGGUCAUUGUGGCCAAAGGCAUCUGGAUGCUUUUUUUCCUGCACUAAGUCUGAAGGCUCUGCACAAUUUGCUGAUGAUGUACACUCUCGGCAGCUCCACACCACCAUCAGAAAGGAGAUGGCUAACCAGCAGUGCUAGAGCUAGACAAGGUGCAAAGAGAUAAGAUGCAAUCACGUGCCAGGACCGUGUUGUAUGGAUUGUGUUGGCCCAGCUGCUCGUGGAUGAGCAUGGUUAUGGAAGAAGUGUUCCACCUGCAGCUUCUGCAUCCAGGGGCUACAGCUGCAUUCCCACUGAAUUUCAGAGUUUCAGUCCCAAGUGCCAUUGGGUAG
rnacentral:lncRNA from 1 species